AGUCGAACGCGAAAGUCCCCUUCGGGGGACAAGUAGAGUGGCGCACGGGUGAGUAACACGUAGGUAAUCUACCUUCGGGUGGGGAAUAACAACCGGAAACGGUUGCUAAUACCGCAUAAUGCAGCGGCACCUAAUGGUGACAGUUGUUAAAGCGGGGGAUCGCAAGAUCUCGCGCCUGAAGAGGAGCCUGCGGCGGAUUAGCUAGUUGGUAGGGUAAUGGCCUACCAAGGCGACGAUCCGUAGCCGGCCUGAGAGGGCGGUCGGCCACACUGACACUGACAUACGGGUCAGACUCCUACGGGAGGCAGCAGUCGGGAAUUUUGGGCAAUGGGCGAAAGCCUGACCCAGCAACGCCGCGUGAAGGAUGAAAUCCCUCGGGAUGUAAACUUCGCAAGAACAGGAAGAAUAAGUUUGUGCUAACACCACAAGCGAUGACGGUACUGUUUGUAAGCUCCGGCUAACUCCGUGCCAGCAGCCGCGGUAAUACGGGGGGAGCAAGCGUUGUUCGGAUUUACUGGGCGUAAAGGGCGCGUAGGCGGCCGCCGCAAGUCAGUUGUGAAAUCUCCGAGCUUAACUCGGAAAGGUCAACUGAUACUGCGGGGCUAGAGUGCGGAAGGGGCAACUGGAAUUCUUGGUGUAGCGGUGAAAUGCGUAGAUAUCAAGAGGAACACCUGCGGCGAAGGCGGGUUGCUGGGCCGACACUGACGCUGAGGCGCGAAAGCUAGGGGAGCGAACGGGAUUAGAUACCCCGGUAGUCCUAGCCUUAAACGAUGAAUGCUUGGUGUCUGGGGUUAUAUAGUCCCCGGGUGCCGUC
rnacentral:rRNA from 1 species